rnacentral:lncRNA from 1 species
ACAUCUAUUCUUUGAACAUGUAAUUUGACAGGUAACACACAUGUUUCAUUUUAACACCGAGAGGAAAUCCAUGACAACACAGAGUCACACUAGGAAAGGUUCCACUAUAAUCAAACACAUAAUGACAAAAAUACUGCUAUUGCAAUUUGAACAUGGUUAGCACAAAUUUAUGAACAAUAAAAUCUCAUACUUUUCAAGUUACUCAAAUAGCAACAACAGUUCAUAAAGUAUAUAUUUUUGUCAUCACAAAUUCAUUUCUAGACAUGAAUAAACAUGUAUAAUCACAUACUUUAACAUAAAAUUUCAAGAUAAACAAAUUCCCAAAUCCCAUAAACUCUACCAAAAUGAAAAAGAGACGAGGAGAGUUUGGGAUAGAGAAGAUUACUUCUCUCCUUUCCAUUAAUCAUCUCAAAGAUUAUAAAUUACCCUCAUACCUUUAGAUGAUGGAAAUCUAGCUUUGAAGUUGAAUUUGACUUUUCAAGUUCCUUCCCUUCUCUCAAGUUCUUCUUUCUUCUUAUUUCUUUACCGACUCUGUUUUCUCCUUCUCUCUCUACUUUUCCAAUAUUUUGAUAAGAAUGACUUUCUCUUUCUAUUUUUAGUUUAUAUAUCUAGAGU